rfam:Glossina palpalis gambiensis isolate 146720 unplaced genomic scaffold Scaffold108, whole genome shotgun sequence.
GGGUAGUUUUUAGUACGUAGGCGGCAUGGAUGGCGAAUCGUGCAUGCUGCUAACAAGAACCCGCAGUAUCUUUUCAAGAUUUUUAUCUC